UAGGCAGAUUGGGAGGGAAGUCCAUUCUUGAAUAAUGACAUGUAAUGGGAGUGAGUUUCAGGGUUUUUUUUUUCCCCCGUUUUUUCUCUCCUAGAUUUGACCUAAAGGUAAAGAGAGUCCCAGACUGCAGAGAGGAUAAAAGAAAUUCUGAAAAAAAAUUCCCUGAUUUAUAACCAGAAGACUGGGAAUAGGGGACCUUCACGAGCUGACAAGUAUAGGGGGAGAGUCCUGGAUUUUUUCUUCUUCUUCCUUUUUUCCUUUUCUCUUGGCUCUUCCCUGAGGCCAGCCGCAUUUGGGAAGCUGCAGGACAGCAGUGGUGAUCACAGUGUAGGCAUCUAUGUGAUGCAAAAAAGAACCCAUUUUUUCUGGACAAAGAAACUUGGAAAAGGGCCCCUCUGGCCCGGAGAAUUUAGGGGAAAUCCCUGGGGUAUUUUUUCCCCCUUUUCCUCUUAGUACUUUAUCACAGGGUAGGCACAUUUCCAUGGAAUUUCUCAACAGCACAAGAGGGUACAGUUUUGAGAGGUACCCUGACUUUCUAGCCAGAAGACUCCGAAAAGAAGUCUCUGGUUCUCAUGGGAAACAAAGAGUGUAAAGGGAAUCUUGAUGGGAAAAGUUCUGGAAAAGGGGAUUCCCUACAUCUUUGUAUAAACCUAUACGACCUUAAUUCACCCCUGAAACGCCCAUUUCACCCCUGAGGUACAUGGAACAGACCUAAUGAAACAUCAGAAAGACUUUGAAAACUGAACUGACAUUGGAACCAUCACUACCACUAGUCAUUUGUAAGACUUCUCCAGGGAGAAAUCUCUAGGAAUGGAACUUCCUCUGGACCAUAAGAUAAAGAAACUGAAACUAUGGAAUGGAGCAUAUGCUGUCCAAAGUCACAACUCUCUAAAGUAUUGGACCUGCAAUUUGAACCCAGUGUGUCUGGAUUUUUCCAGUAUUUCAAGAUCACUCAGAACUUGAGGGAUACCUUUUUGAAGAGGAAAAACAUGAUGCACCGGCAAAACUUCAGUCUGCAGAGGAUCAUAAGCCAAUGGACUGCAAUUGUUGCUUUGAAAAGGCAGCAGCAAAAGGAGAGUUGAUGGAGAUACCAGGCAAGAAAGGGUCGUAUCAAUAUCCUCCACCACCAUGAGAUACAGGGAAAGUUGACACCACUCCCAGUUUCAAAGUUUUUGGCAUCUAUGAAGCCUAAGUGUUACUGAGUACUGAACUUAUUUCAAGGUGCUUGAAAAACUGAGACCAGAAAAUUUGCCACAGAAAUUUGGAUGCAUAUCUGAAGGCUUCCAAAAAGCAAGUCACUUCUGUGUAACUGCUACCCUCUGCUCCCCUCAAGUUAUUGACAGAAGACCCUCAUACACCAGAACAGCACCCCAGUUUCCCUGACCAGAGGACUCUGAGAUUCAUUGGUAGGAGGUUCAUGGGAUGCUACAGUGAGGAGUGUGCAUGGAGUCAUCGAUUUACGAUGUCGGCCAAGGACACAGAAAAGGGGAUGCAGCAGAACAUGUGCCACAUUUGCAUCAUCCCUGAACUAGUCUCUUCUACAACCGGUGACUCUUACUACCAUCCUUGGGCUAGACGUUCUUUCUGGUCCUUGACAGCUUCACAUGCUCAGCGUCUGGUCCCUCCCACUCAGAAGGAAGCACGGGUCUCAGACCAUGAAACCAGAACCUCCCACCGACUUGUCAGAGCUGGGACCUUUCUGCAUUGUGUUACCUUCUCCUUCUUGGCAGUGGGAAGAUAGCCAUGGGUGAGCCUACGUUUGUCAUUCUGAAGAAGAUAUUUGGGCUAAGAUUUCAAUUUCAAUAGAGAUGGGAGAGCAAAUGAAUAGUGAAUAAAUCUAAUUUAGAAUUUUGCCUCCGAUGUCUGGUUCUCAGAAUGAUGAUAUAUGGGGAUCCUCAAAAGGGAUACUGGUCAAAUGGCUAAUGACAAGAAGCACAAGAGGACCACCCUGUUCAGCACAUCAGGCUGGAAGUCCUAGGGGGAUUUUCUUAUGAUGCUGGACGAUGUCCUGGGAGAUAAAACCUCAGAAGUAUCUG